rnacentral:rRNA from 1 species
UACGUAGGGCGCGAGCGUUGUCCGGAAUUAUUGGGCGUAAAGAGCUCGUAGGCGGCCUGUUGCGUCCGCUGUGAAAUCCCAGGGCUCAACCCUGGGCGUGCAGUGGAUACGGGCAGGCUGGAGGCAGGCAGGGGAGAACGGAAUUCCCGGUGUAGCGGUGAAAUGCGUAGAUAUAGGGAAGAACACCAAUCAGGCGAAGGCAGUUAACUAUUCUAUUCCUGACAUUGAGGCAUGAAAGCGUGGGGAGCAAAACGG